UUGAAGGCUGAAAUUCGCCUUCAUGAAGUCGGAAUUGCUAGUAAUGGCAGGUCAGCAUACUGCCGUGAAUACGUUCCCGGGCCUUGUACACACCGCCCGUCACACCAUGAGAGUUGGAGAUACCCGAAGCCUAUGAGCUAACUUUUAGAGGCAGUAGUCGAAGGUAGAAUCAAUGAUUGGGGUGAAGUCGUAACAAGGUACC
rnacentral:rRNA from 1 species